GAAUACGUUAAUAGUGUGGCGUGGGGAGAAAAUUGUAAAAGUAUAUGAUAUAGUGUGAUUGAAAUAGCUAUAGAUAAACAGUUUAAAAUAAUCUAUAUGAGUACUUUUAACCGACAUAUAUAGGAGCAUCAUGUGCAAGGUACUUUUAUAUUGCUAAAGUUACUGCUUCAUCGUCACCUUAGCCAAGGCAAGUACCUUGUAAGCUGCAUUUGUAGUCAAUUUCAUUCUCAUUUGUGCAGAAACCUGAGCAUCCUUAUUUGCCC
rnacentral:lncRNA from 1 species